rnacentral:rRNA from 1 species
CCUACGGGCGGCUGCAGUAAGGAAUAUUGGACAAUGGCGGAGACGCUGAUCCAGCUAUCCCGCGUGCAGGAUGAAGGACCUAUGGUUUGUAAACUGCUUUAGCCUGGGGCGAAAAAGUGGGAUUUAUCCUACCUUGACGGUACCAGUAAAAUAAGCACCGGCUAACUCCGUGCCAGCAGCCGCGGUAAUACGGAGGGUGCAGGCGUUACCCGGAAUCACUGGGUAUAAGGGGGCCGUCGAAGUCAUGCUAGAAAGGCCACGGCUUAACCGUGGGAUUGCUUUUGAUACUGGCGAGCUUGGAUUAGGACGAGGUUGGCGGAAUGUGGCAAGUAGCGGUGAAAUGCAUAGAUAUGCCAUAGAAUACCGAUUGCGAAGGCAGCUGACUAGACCUAUAUUGACGCUGAGGCACGAAAGCGUGGGGAGCGAACAGGAUUAGAUACCCCUGUAGUC